rnacentral:lncRNA from 1 species
CCGUGUCUGCAACCUACACCACAGCUGACGGCAACGCCGGAUCGUUAACCCACUGAACAAGGGCAGGGACCAAACCCGCAACCUCAUGGUUCCUAGUCGGAUUCGUUAACCACUGCGCCACGACAGGAACUCCUUAAGAUGGCAUUCAAUUAAAAGUCCUUGUCCACAUUCAGAAGUUUUUUUGAUACUUCAUAAAAAAAUGAGGCAUAAAAGUGCCACUUUGAGUUAUCUCCUUAUGCAUUGACCACACACCCAAAUAGUUAAAACUUUGCUGGUAACCAUUCACCAUGCAAAUAUAAUUUAGUUAGAAGUGAAAAGAAAUCAAGAAUUCUUCUCAUAAUGGGCCAGAAUAUUUGUAAAAAUAUAUCCAUUUUUCUUGAAAUGUGUUUGCCUUAGGUAUAAUCUAUAUUUGUUGGUUCUUUAGCAUGCUAUUUGCACUUCAAACAAUUUUUCUCUCUUUAUAAUGCACAGUAAUAAAUGGUAUUAUUGUAUUUGGAAGUAUGUUGGCAAGGGAAACUGGUAGAGUUAAUCCAAUAACUUGGAGCUCCUGGGAGAAAAGGUGCUAUAGAAACAGAAGGUGUUAUUAUCGCUAUUAUUACUGUGUGGUGGUGGAAACCCUGUCUGUUCUUUAUAAAAGCCGGCCAUUUAAGAAGAAAGGCAGAAUUGCUAUAGGGGGAGUUGAAGGCAUUUCAAAUUUUGAUAAAUUUACACAGCUAGGUAGUAGAAAAAAAUCUUAAAAAAAAUCUAAAAAGGAAAAUAGCUGGCUUAGAUUUCUUGUUACUCCUCUGCAGUUUGGAACAUAAUGCUAUCAAUGAUUAUUUUCCAGAUACGACGUGGAACUGAAAAAUCGAAAUCUUGGAGGUGCUAGUGAUCAAACUAGAAAAAAUUCUCUUUAGAAUAGAAUUAGUAAAGCACUGACUUUUGAGAUUUAAAUGCAUCAGAAUCCAAGAUGCACAGAAAGAUAGACAGUUUUCUAUUGAUAACUGAAUACUCGUGAAUAGGAAUCACUAGGAUGUGUUAGUAUUAGGGAGGCAAUAAAUACAGUGGAUGAGAUCAUUUCUGAAGUUAGAUUUGUCUGCAUUUAAAUCUUGACUUGGUAGCCAUGUGACCUUAAAAAAAUGAUUAACCUUUCCAAGCCCCAGUUUUUUCAUCUAUAAAUUGGGGAUGAUAAAAUCCAAGUAAAAUCAGCCCCUUGCACAUGGGAGAGGUCUCAGAAAUCGAGCCAUCCUACCAACAAAAUGUUAGCAUUAUCCUAAUGAAAACUGAUCUAGAACUAUAUUGGUAGCUCUUAAUUGAGUUCUUAAGAUAUUUUUACAGUUUCUGCAUUAUUAACUUACUUUCAGCUACUCACUUUAGAGAAUGAGAGAGGGAAAGGAAAGGUCCCAGAAAUAAAUGCUCCAAUUUUGAUAAGACUUUUAGGGCUGAGAAGGACGUUAUUCAUAAAGUAAGUAUGUUUGAUGUUGGAAGUUUUUACUACAUAAAUAAAAUUUAGGGAAAUGAGAAGUUGAAAUCAUGUUGGCUCAUUAGCCAGACAUCUGCGUCUUUAUUUCAUCAUUAUCAGUGGUAUAAUUGGAAGUUUUCUUGGAUAUAAUGUUGUAAAGAAUCUCUUAGGGGUAUAUUUUUAAAAUUGUUGACCAGGUAUAUUUUCUUGUUCCAGUCAUUUUAGUUAUUCUAUAACUAAGAAAACAGGAAAUGUGUUUGAACUUAAUCUUCCUGUAGCUGUGUCUCAGAAGAGGAUAUUUCAGUGUAACUAGUUAACUUUAGAUAAGAGGUGAAUACUACCCAAGUUCAUUUGAAUAUAAGACCCUGGGCCUGAAAAUAAUUAUGGUAUGAUGAACAUAUUUAGGGUGUCAGAACAAUGAUUUAAAACCACAUUGGCUCUGCUACCUAUCUGACUACAGCUUUGAUGAAAACUCUGGGCUGAUAUCGGAAGCAAGUAAUUUUAUUGCUGUGGACUGCUCAGUAGACCUGUCUUUAUUCAGCUGAGAAAAGUGAUUAGCUCAGUUCUUAUUUCAAGAUGGUAUUUAAAUUGGACCCAGAUAAAAACCUUAAAGUGGCUGUGUUUCACUAAAGACCAAUAAAUCCUCAUUUCUUUCUUUUUAAAAAAUAUCCUAUAUUGGUUCCUGGUACUGCCCUUCCUGUGCAAUUUUACUCAUGUCUCCCCAUUUAUACAUAUGUGCACACCCACAUGACGUCAUUUACUCUGUUCUUGCUAUUCUCUUCUAUUUAAAUUGUUUAUUCAUUUUCCCUUAAUUUUUCCCUUGUCGUCUUGCUGGUGUCAAAUGAAUUCCCUCAUUCUGCAGAAGCUCAGCAGGAAAUGUAUUAAUGCAGCUGGAACAUAACUACUGUCAGGACGGUGGAGUGACCUCUGUACUUGAAAAAUAAAAGAACUGAAAAGUAUCCUGCAGCUAGAAGUCAGGAGGAAAAAGUCUUGAUGCAUCUUCUUCAUUUCCAUCCAAGAAGUGUUUGCCCUAUAUCUAAGGAAUCCGGUGAGAAAAAUCUUAAAAAGUUUAAAUGAAGAUAAAACAGGCAGAAAUGCUGAAUUUGGGCUACGUCUUAAUACUCUGAAGUUGCAAUUCAAAAGGAAUCUGGGAUAUUGAGGUACAUGGUGGAUAUGAACAUGAAUGCGACAUUGUCCUUACACCAUUUACUUAAGUUGUAUUAUUUCCAGAAGUGAGAACCACCUCAAAAAUUUAUCUUCCAAAGUUAAAAGGGAUUCAUGUUUCCAGCCACGCUUCAUCAAUGUCAGGCUGUGAUGGUCAGCUAUUGCAUGGGUAUCCUUGUUGCCGCAGCCAACAGCAACUUAGCCAGGACUGAAAAGAUGUCCAUUUUCUCUCCUACUGAGUCGCUUGCUUGCCAAGAGUAUUUUUUUUCCAUGACUAACACUCAAUGAAACAUCUGAUGUUUGAAAACAAGAUUGCUUUCCCUUGCAAUUGUUACUAAAUUCUUUGCCUGGGCUAUAACGCAUAGACUUUGAUCUAAAGUCCUACCACUGCUAGAAGGACUUGUGUGAUUACGAUAAUGUGCACUGCUCUUUUUGCUAUUCCUGUAGGGAAAAUAAACCCCACAUUAGUUCCAUAUUAGUACCUGACUUGGAGAAGUUAAAAAGCACCAGAAAAAGGUUAAACAGAGUCAAGUACACAUAAGAGAGCAGUGGUUAUUAGUGUUUAGGGAGCCAUUAAAAAAAUUCUGCUUAUACAGAAGAAUUUAUUGGUGCUCCCGCUUCUGGCUGCUUUAUGCAUUUUAAUAAAAAGUGUAGGGGGUGUGUGUGUGCACACGCGCAUGCACUUGCACACGUUUUAUGGCAAUGAUUGAACAAGGAUUUUAACUCUUUGGUCUGUUGGUAAUUUCAUCUCUUCCUUUUUACCCUAAAUCUCUGUUUUGAACUUUUGGUUUCUGAAAAUUCUGAAAUGGUUGUUAUAUUUUUAUUAAGGUAAUUGCUGAAAAAUAUGCCUGUUGACUCUUGGGAUAUAUUUUUUCUGAUAAGUGUAUUGGGAAGGCUUUUUACUUUAGAUGUUUGACGGAAAUUACCUAGAGAAAAUACUAAAUACACAGUUUUCUGAAAC